UUCACAGGCUGCUUCGAAGCCCUCCCUACC
rnacentral:piRNA from 1 species